UACGUAGGGUGCAAGCGUUGUCCGGAAUUAUUGGGCGUAAAGAGCUCGUAGGCGGUCUGUCGCGUCUGCUGUGAAAACCCGGGGCUCAACCCCGGGCUUGCAGUGGAUACGGGCAGACUAGAGUUCGGUAGGGGAGACUGGAAUUCCUGGUGUAGCGGUGAAAUGCGCAGAUAUCAGGAGGAACACCGGUGGCGAAGGCAGGCCUCUGGGCCACUACUGACGCUGAGAAGCGAAAGCAUGGGGAGCGAACAGG
rnacentral:rRNA from 1 species